rnacentral:rRNA from 1 species
UACGUAGGGUGCAAGUGUUAAUCGGAAUUACUGGGCGUAAGGCGUGCGCAGGCGGUUAUGUAAGACAGAGGUGAAAUCCCCGGGCUCAACCUGGAACGGCCUUUGUGACUGCAUAGCUAGAGUACGGUAGAGGGGGAUGGAAUUCCGCGUGUGGCAGUGAAAUGCGUAGAUAUGCGGAGGAACACCGAUGGCGAAGGCAAUCCCCUGGACCUGUACUGACGCUCAUGCACGAAAGCGUGGGGAGCAAACAGG